AUUCGAGUUCAAACCUAGUCAUCCUCCUCGCCCUUAUAAUGCGAGCUGCACACGAUGGAAUUCGGUGAUUCCAUCUCUACACAUAACCGAAGACGAGCGAUUCAAGAACGAGACGAUUUGGAUCUGCGAUACCAGGCAUAGGGCUCUUCCGCCUACCUUGAUCGAGCAGAGAUCCGUCGCUUCUCCGAUUGGGACUCGUCUUCCACCUUUUUCGCUUCGCACCAUGGCCUGCAUCAAGAGCGCCGCGCGGUCGGCGCUCGUUUCGUUCGCGCCCGAUGCGCCCUACCUCGCUGCCGGCACCAUGGCCGGCUCCGUCGACCUCAGCUUCAGCGCCACCGCCAACCUCGAGAUCUUCAAGCUCGACUUCCAGUCCGACGCGCCCGAGCUCCCAGUCGUCGGGGCCUGCCCCAGCGACGAGCGCUUCAACCGCCUCUCCUGGGGGAAGCCCCCCUCCGCCUCGGAGGAGUACUCUCUUGGCCUCAUCGCUGGCGGUCACCCCGAUGGAAGCAUCUGCGUUUGGAAUCCCCGUAAGCUGAUCAGUCCCGAGGAACAAAAUGAUGCUUUUGUAGCGAAGCUCAACAUGCACGUGGGAUCGGUCUAUGGCCUGGAGUUCAGCACGCUGUCACCAAAUCUACUCGCUUCCGGGGCUGAUGAAGGGAAGCUUUGCAUUUGGGAUCUGGCAAACCCUUCAAAACCAGAUCAUUUCCCAUCUCUAAAGGGUGUUGGAUCUGGAGCCCAAACUGAAGUGUCCUUUGUUUCAUGGAACCCUAAGUUUCAACAUAUAUUAUUAUCCACCUCUUAUAAUGGGAUAACAGUUAUAUGGGAUCUAAGGCAACAGAAGCCGGUUAAAAGUUUUGCAGACUCAACUAGAAGGAGGUGCUCUGUUCUGCAGUGGAACCCUGAUCUGUCUACCCAGUUAAUUGUGGCUUCAGAUGAUGAUAGCUCACCUUCUCUCAGAGUUUGGGAUGUGAGAAAAACUUUAUCACCUAUAAGAGAGUUCGUGGGGCACACUAAAGGUGUAAUCGCAAUGUCAUGGUGUCCCUAUGAUAGUUCUUUUUUGCUUACCUGUGCCAAGGAUAAUAGAACAAUCUGUUGGGACACAACAUCUGGAGAGAUAGUAUGUGAAUUGCCAGCCAGCACAAACUGGAACUUUGAUGUUCACUGGUAUCCCAAGAUUCCAGGAGUCAUAUCAGCUUCUUCAUAUGAUAUGAAAGUUGGAAUAUACAACAUACAGGCUUGUAGUAGGUAUGCAGUUGCAGAGGGUGAAUAUGGUGCUCCUGUACAGUUGAGAGCUCCAAAGUGGUUGAAGCGUCCAACUGGUGUAUCAUUUGGUUUUGGUGGCAAACUUAUUUCAUUUCAGCCUGUUCAAUCAAUUCCAGGAGGUUCUGCACACUCUGCAUCAGAGGUGUAUGUUCACAAUCUAGUUACUGAACAUAGUUUGGUUAGUCGCUCUACUGAAUUUGAAGCUGCAGUACAAAAUGGGGAUAAGUCUUCACUCGGUGCUUUAUGCGAACAAAAAUCAGGAGUUUCUGUAUUGGAAGAUGACAAAGAAACAUGGAAUUUCUUAAAGAUAAUGUGUGAUGAGGAGGGGAUAGCUAGGACUAAGUUGCUUUGCCAUCUUGGUUUCACUGUACCAGAUGAGAGAAGUGAUAAUACUGACAAUAUUGGGAAGCGAUUAGAGAAUAAUCUUAGUCUUGAUAGUUCUCCAAUGUUUGAAGGUCAAGCAAGUGCAUUUGCUAUUGAUAAUGGGGAGGAGUUCUUUAACAACCCUGCGAUUUGUGAGGAUAAUUUAGCUGAUCAGGACAGCAAUGUUCUUAUUGGCGAGCAGGUUCAGAGUGAACCUGAAGGACCCAUCGGUACUUUGAAUCCUUCAUUUGAUGAUAGCAUUCAACAUUCUUUGGUUGUUGGUGACUACAAAGGAGCAGUUUCAAAGUGCAUUGCUGUAAAUAGAAUGGCUGAUGCAUUGGUAAUUGCUCAUGCUGGAGGUUCAUCAUUAUGGGAAAGCACAUGUGAUCUAUACCUUAAGAGUAGUCUGACACCAUAUCUGAAGGUUGUAACUGCAAUGGUGAAUAAUGAUCUCAUGACCCUGGUUAAUACCAGGCCUCUGAACUCAUGGAAGGAAACACUAGCUCUUCUAUGUACGUUUGCCAGAAAAGACGAAUGGACUGUCCUGUGUGAUACUCUAGCUGCAAGACUUUUGACAGUCGGAAAUAGACUUGCUGCUACAUUCUGCUAUAUCUGUGCUGGGAAUGUUGAUAGAACUGUGGAGAUCUGGUCUCAUGGUUUGAAGUCUGAUAGUGAUGGAAGGACUUUCACUGAUCUUCUUCAGGAUUUGAUGGAAAAGACUAUUGUGCUCACCCUUGCAACUGGGCAUAAUCAGUUUAGUGCUUCUUUGUCUAAGCUUGUGGAGAAUUAUGCUGAAUUACUGGCUAAUCAAGGGCUUCUGGCUACUGCUUUAAAGUAUUUAAAACUUUUGGCACCAGACCAACCUUUGCACGAGCUUGCUAUAUUGAGAGAUCGAAUUUCUCUAUCUGCUGAAGAGAAGGGGGCACCCAAAACUCUGAGCUCUGAAACUUCCACACAACAACCGGAAGCUGCUUAUGGCACAGAUCACAUUGGAUAUGGUAUCGCAGACCACACACAGAACUAUUAUCAGGACAAGAACAUUACCCAGCCUCUACCCCAACCCCAUCACAAUAUUCCUAGCACUCAAUAUGCUGAAGGAUAUCACCAGAGUACUGCAUACGGAGGAUAUCAGACACUGCAACCUAAAUCGCAGUUUCUUGAUUUUGGCAUCCCAACAACUUUUCAACCACUGCAGCCAACUCAAAUGUUUAUACCACCUCAGACAAACCAGGUUAUGCAGCAAACUCCACCUGCUGUUGCCUCACAGCCAACACUAAGACCUUUUGUACCUGCAGCUCCUGCGGCUCUUAGAAAAGUGGAACAAUACCAGCAACCUAGCUUGGGUUCUCAGCUAUAUCCGAGCUUUGCCAAUUCUUUUUAUCAAUCUGGACCUUCAUUUAAUCCUUCACAUGGUAUUGGUGGAUCUCAACCAACAGCUGUCAAUGGGAACAGAUUUACCCAACCUGCUGGACCUGCCACAGGACAAAUGGGUUUCAUACCGGUUCCUAAUCCAAAUUUUGCCCAUACACCUAGCAUGCGUAAUGCACAACCUUCAAGCCCUACAAAACUACCACCAUCACAGCCACCUGCUGUUCCUUCAGCCCCUCCACCUACAGUGCAAACAGCUGAUACAUCAAACGUGUCUGCCGAGUUGAAGCCAGUUGUUACCACGUUGACAAGACUAUACAGUGAAACUUCAGCAGCUCUUGGAGGAGCUAAUGCACAUCCAUCUAAAAAGCGGGAAAUUGAAGAUAACUCGAGGAAAAUGGGCUCCUUGUUUGUAAAACUCAAUAGCAGGGAUAUCUCUCCUAAUGCUGCUGCAAAACUUAUUCGACUUUGCCUGGCAUUGGAUAGUGGUGAUUUUGCUGGCGCAUUGCAUAUUCAGGUGAUCUUGACUACAAGCGACUGGGACGAGUGCAACUUCUGGCUUGCUGCGUUGAAACGAAUGAUCAAAAUGAGACAGAAUGUCAGAAUAUAAGGCUCCUCCUGUACUACACGGGAAGAGCCUCCAGCAGGAACGUGUAUGCGGCCCCCCGCACGCAUCGCCAUGCUCCUCGGUCUCGCAACUCGACAAACACAAACCAUUACAAAAAAGGCUACGCCUCUUCCCCAUUGCUCGCAUAAUUUAUUGCUGCACCCCCUUGUCGGCAGUCAUCGUCUUUAAUACAUACGUAACGAGAUCCAAUGAGAAUCAGAAAGAUAACAGAGAGCCAAAAGAGUACGCGAGAUCGGGAAACACACAGGAACAGCACGGACAAUGGUGCGUGGUGUAAUUCAGCGUGGAGAAGAAGACCGGGAGAAGGUGGUGGGAUCAAGAUCUGGCGGC